CAGGAACAAGAACACCCCUCGGGGUGCAGGGAUGCUCAGAGUGGCACUGGUGUGUCCGCCUCAGGACACCUGAGGGCCGAGGCAUGGACAUGCCUGCAGGUCUCUCUCUUUUGAAGAGCUCAAACUAAUCCCUGCUGGGUUGACAAGCAGUUGCAUCAGCUUCGCCCCUGAGGACAGCGGCAGGACCUUCCGAGUGCCCAAACCAGAGGCGCCGACGUUCACACACGCUUCCUCCACCCUCUGG